rnacentral:tRNA from 1 species
GCAGUGGUGGCUCCGUAGUAGAAUUCUUGCCUUUCAUGUGGGAGACCUGGGUUCAAUUUCCAGCCGAUGCA